rnacentral:rRNA from 3 species
UGGGUUGCAAAAGAAGUAGGUAGCUUAACCUUCGGGAGGGCGCUUACCACUUUGUGAUUCAUGACUGGGGUGAAGUCGUAACAAGGUAACCGUAGGGGAACCUGCGGUUGGAUCACCUCCUUA